rnacentral:lncRNA from 1 species
CUCAAUUUGUACUUCCAAAGAUAUUAUUUUAUAAGAAAUUUACCCCUAAGUAACAAUGUGAUUGAAAGGUUCAGUCUUUUUCUCUGUCAUCCCAAUUUUAUUCUGAUUUAAAUUUAUCUGGAGGAAAAAAAGUCUCACAAAUGUACUUUAUAUAAUGUUUCUUAUUAACAAUAUACUCUUUUCAAGGAACUCUAUCAUUACUGUCUUUUACUAUCAUCACUGUCUUUUAGUUAAAAGUUUAUCUUCAAGAUUGUCCCUUGAAAAAAAAAAACACUUUGUGGGCCAGGCACGGUAGCUCACGCCUGUAACCCCAACAUUUUGGGAGGCCAUGCUGGGUAGACCACUUGAGGCUAGGAGUUUCAAGACCAGCCUGGCCAACAUGGCAAAACCCCAUCUCUACUAAAAAUACAAAAAACUUGGCCGGUGUGGUGGUGCAUGCCUGUAAUCCCAGCUACUCAGGACGCUGAGGCACCAGAAUUGUUUGAACUCGGGAGGUAAAGAUUGCAGUGAGCCUAGAUGGCACCACUGCACUCCAGGCUGGGAAACAAACACUUUAUCUCAAAAAAAAAGAAAGAAGGAAAAAAACCAUUUUCAACAACUGUUUCAUCUCACCUUAAAGAUGAAGGAAAUAUUUAUAUCAUAAUUAUGUAAUAAUUAUAGAUCAAUCUCUAAUCUGGUUUUGGAGAAGGUUAACAAGCCAUAUGACCACCAACAGUAACUUAAGACAAAAAUUGGUCUAAAAGAAUUUGAGGUAUUAUAAUCCAUUUUUUAGUAAUAGCCAUGUGAAUUCCAUUUAGCGUAAGUCACAUAUAAAUGGCACUUUACAUUUUCAUAUUCAUCUAUUUGGAACACCUAGCCAUUAUUCUAACAAAAUAAAAUAAAACAAAAUGAAAUAAAAUAAACUCUAGGCCGGGUGCAGUGGCUCAUGCCUGUAAUCCCAGCACUUUGGGAGACCAAGGUGGGUGGAUCACCUGAGGUCAGGAGUUCGAGACCAGCCUGGCCAAUGUGGUGAAAACUCAUCCCUACUAAAAAUACAAAAUUAGCUGAACAUGGUGGCAGACGUCUGUAAUCCCAGCUACUUGAGAGGCUAAGGCAGGGGAAUCGCUAGAACCUGGGAGGCAGAGGUU